rnacentral:misc_RNA from 1 species
UCACUACUUGCGUAGGCAGUCUGGCUAGAGUCCCCACCAUUACGUGCUGGUAACUAGCCACAGGGGUUGCGCUCGUUACGGGACUUAACCCAACACCUCACGGCACCUACUUCCAGGAUGUCAAACCCAGGUAAGGUUCUUCGCUUUGCAUCGAAUUAAGCAACGCGCUCCGCCGCUUGUGCGGGCCCCCGUCAAUUCCUUUGAGUUUUAACCUUGCGGUCGUAAUCCCCAGGCGGGGUGCUUAAUGCGUUAGCUACGGCACGGAGGGAGUGGAUAACCCCCCACACCUAGCACCCAUCGUUUACGGCGUGGACUAC